GACGAACGCUGGCGGCGUGCUUAACACAUGCAAGUCGAACGGAAAGGCCCUGCUUUUGUGGGGUGCUCGAGUGGCGAACGGGUGAGUAACACGUGAGUAACCUGCCCUUGACUUUGGGAUAACUUCAGGAAACUGGGGCUAAUACCGGAUAGGAGCUCCUGCUGCAUGGUGGGGGUUGGAAAGUUUCGGCGGUUAGGGAUGGACUCGCGGCUUAUCAGCUUGUUUGUGGGGUAGUGGCUUACCAAGGCUUUGACGGGUAGCCGGCCUGAGAGGGUGACCGGCCACAUUGGGACUGAGAUACGGCCCAGACUCCUACGGGAGGCAGCAGUGGGGAAUAUUGCACAAUGGGCGGAAGCCUGAUGCAGCAACGCCGCGUGCGGGAUGACGGCCUUCGAGUUGUAAACCGCUUUCGCCUGUGACGAAGCGUGAGUGACGGUAAUGGGUAAAGAAGCACCGGCUAACUACGUG
rnacentral:rRNA from 1 species